CCGGAGUUGGGAGGUGAAGCAGAGGGCACAGGGCUUAUGGCCUGGCCGGAGGUGGGAGGUGAAGCAGAGGUGAGGAGGAGGUUCCCCCACUGGAUUCCGACUUGGAGAAUAGCCCAGUUCCUUCUGCUGCGGGUGACGUAGCAGCUCUUGCCACACUGAUAGAAGGAGUGGUGGCAGCUGACCUCUGCCGAUAGAACACCUGCUAUCGGGUUUAAGCAGGUGGAUUCACUCACUGAACUCACAGCGGCCUAACCAAUGAGGGCUGUACUUAUUCCCAUUUUAAAGGUGAGGAAAUAGGGCUGGGCACAGUGGUUCACUCCUGUAAUCCCAUCACUUUGGGAGGCUGAGGCGGGCAGAUCACUUGAGCCCAGGAGUUUGAGACCAGCCUGGGCAACAUAGCCAUACCCUAUCUCUACCAAAAAUUCGCCAGUUAUGGUGGGAUGCAGCUAUGGUCGCAGCUACUGGGGAGGCUGAGGUGGGAGGAUCACCUGAGCUUGGGAGGUGGAAGCUGCAGUGAGCCAUGAUCACGCCAUUGCACUGCAGCCUGGGUGACAGAGGGAGACCUGUACCAAAAACUUAAGUAACAAAGGUGAGGAAACAGAGGCACAUAAAAUGAGGUAAUUUUCCUCCCUUCUGUGCCUAUUUUGAAAACGUUUUUAAAAUCUUUACAAGAAACGAAAAACUUAUUCUCACUGUAAAUCAUUGUCAAAACGUGUCUGUCACUGUUGACCUUUGCCCUCCAGUCACAUCCACGCCCCUGUUCUGGAGCUGCCUGUCAAGCAGUCACUGCAGUGUGGUUUGAGUGAUUAUGCUCCCUGUGUGAUUCUAUUAAAUUACAUAAUCGAUUAGCCAGGCAUGGUGGUGUGCACCUGUAGUCCCAGCUCCUGGGGAGGCUGAGGUAGGAGAAUCGCUUGAACCUGGGAGGUGGAG
rnacentral:lncRNA from 10 species